rnacentral:lncRNA from 1 species
UUUCAUUUCAUCUAUUGCAUACAAACAACUAUAGCGACAACAGAAGGUUGUAUCAGUCACAAUGCUAGGCUAAGGAAGCUUAAAGUGGCGAGGAGCACAACUGCACAAGGUUCAUGAACACAUUGAAAGAAGGGCAUUCUGAAUUUCUGAUCACUUCACUAUUCCCUUGACCACUUUUUACUAUGUAUUAGAAAGAGAUGUAACAUAGCUAUAAAUUGACUGGAGUGGUGACUUGUUACUUGGUUAGGUUGCGGUCGUCUCAGUUUAUGGUCAAUAUUUGUCCUUAUGUAAGACUAGAACGAAGAAGCUCCUAUCAAGGUUUGAUUUCUGGAAAUCAAGAUAAAUGAAAAAUAAGUUGCUGAGGGUGCAGGACAAACUGUGUU